rnacentral:misc_RNA from 1 species
CCAUACGGGAGAGAAACU